GAUGAACGCUGGCGGCGUGCCUAACACAUGCAAGUCGAACGAGAAGUUUGUUUCUGAUUCCUUCGGGAUGAGGAAGCGGAUAGAAAGUGGCGAACGGGUGAGUAACGCGUGGGUAAUCUACCCUGUAAGUGGGGGAUAACCCUCCGAAAGGAGGGCUAAUACCGCAUAAUAUCUUCAUCUCAAAAGGGAAGAAGAUUAAAGGUGGCCUCUAUACUAUGCUAUCGCUUCAGGAUGAGCCUGCGUCCUAUUAGUUAGUUGGUGGGGUAAUGGCCUACCAAGACUACAAUGGGUAGCCGGUCUGAGAGGAUGUACGGCCACACUGGGACUGAGAUACGGCCCAGACUCCUACGGGAGGCAGCAGUGGGGAAUAUUGCGCAAUGGGGGAAACCCUGACGCAGCGACGCCGCGUGGAUGAUGAAGGCCCUUGG
rnacentral:rRNA from 1 species